rnacentral:rRNA from 1 species
AGUGAACGCUGGCGGUAGGCCUAACACAUGCAAGUCGAACGGCAGCACAGUAAGAGCUUGCUCUUACGGGUGGCGAGUGGCGGACGGGUGAGGAAUACAUCGGAAUCUACUUUUUCGUGGGGGAUAAUGUAGGGAAACUUACGCUAAUACCGCAUACGACCUACGGGUGAAAGCAGGGGAUCUUCGGACCUUGCGCGAUUGAAUGAGCCGAUGUCGGAUUAGCUAGUUGGCGGGGUAAAGGCCCACCAAGGCGACGAUCCGCAGCUGGUCUGAGAGGAUGAUCAGCCACACUGGAACUGAGACACGGUCCAGACUCCUACGGGAGGCGGCAGUGGGGAAUAUUGGACAAUGGGCGCAAGCCUGAUCCAGCCAUACCGCGUGGGUGAAGAAGGCCUUCGGGUUGUAAAGCCCUUUUGUUGGGAAAGAAAAGCAGCAGGUUAAUACCCCGCUGUUCUGACGGUACCCAAAGAAUAAGCACCGGCUAACUUCGUG